rnacentral:rRNA from 1 species
UACGGGGGGGGCAAGCGUUGUUCGGAAUUACUGGGCGUAAAGGGCGCGUAGGCGGCCUUCUAAGUCAGACGUGAAAUCCCUCGGCUUAACCGGGGAACUGCAUCUGAUACUGGAUGGCUUGAGUUUGGGAGAGGGAUGCGGAAUUCCAGGUGUAGCGGUGAAAUGCGUAGAUAUCUGGAGGAACACCGGUGGCGAAGGCGGCAUUCUGGACCAACACUGACGCUGAGGAGCGAAAGCCAGGGGAGCAAACGGG